UCUCUGGUCUUGUGCUGCCGGGGGGAAGAGCUCGGCUCUGCCUGCCCCCGCUCUCUGGCCGAAGGGACGGGAUCUGGUGCCGCUGCUCCGCUGGCUACAGCUUUUCCCUUCUCGGGUCAAGUGUCGCCCGAAGACGCUGGCGCCCCGAGCCGAGAAAUCCCCCGUGGCCCCCGAGGCGGGUCCGUGGCGCCGGGGAGGACGCGGCCGGGAGCUCCGCCGUGCAGGGGCCGCGGCAGCCGCCGUAGCCGCCGUCCCCCGCACACGGCUCCCGUGUUGGCCGGGAACGCCUCUGCUCGGCGUUGAACUCCGGUGUAUUGAAAACCUGUGGAAAUAGAGAUUACUUCCGUCUGCAGCGGGGAACCUGCCCUGAGGGGUGAAGGGAUUAAUUUAUCUGAGGACUUAAAAGGAGACCACUGCAUUUGUAUCCUUGUGUGUGAGGACGGCAGAGAUGCAAGAGAUGGAAAAGCACGUGCAAUUACCAGCCCCUUGAUUCGCAUAUUUGAUUCAUUGUCUGCCUUGGAGCUCUGAGCUGAGACAGCGCUGGGAAUCCACUGGUCACUGCUGUACCUUGGACUUGGGUUUGUCAUUCACGGCAGCAACAAAUGGAUGAAGAGAGAUCGGUGAACGAACCUUCUGCCCUAUCUUGAAAGCUAAGCGUGUCUGUCCGUAGGCAGCUAUUCAACGGAUUUCAGACUCCUCUUCAUUGGGAAUCUAUCCUGAAGUGGAAGGGACCAAGACACGACUGCCCGAAUGUUUUAGCACAACCCACUCUUGCUGCUCCCAACUGGGCUCAACGGCAGCUGCCAAAUGUGCUUACAACUAUGACGGGGUGUUGACAGGCAGGAGCUGCUACCCUCUGCUUACUUCCAGGCUACAAAUGAUCUGUGCUGUUCCCUCCUGCCCUUCCUCCCCAGCCAGUUUUAAAAGCAGAAGAAGGAUCUGCCCUCCCCUCGUGCGUGUGCGUUUGAGUGCUCCUUUCUAAGCAAGGACUCAAAGCUGGAUCUCAGACAUGAUGGUGACCCUCCCCAGGGAGCAGAAGGGACUAGAGAGUAUUGGCUGCACCUUCUGGAGUUACUACCUCCAAGGAUACAGCAGCUUGCAAUCUAGUAGAUCACGGGAAGCAAUGGAGAACAUCCCUCGCUACCGCUGCUUGGACUGUAAGACAGCCUGCAGAGAUGUGUAUUUUCCUGUCACCUGAACCAUGAAGUGUGACAAACUGCAUUCUACUACAGGCAUUUUACACUUAGAAGUUAACAUCUGCUGCCUGCAGCCUUUAGAUAGCGUUGGUGAUCGGUCCCUGCCACUUCAACGGUUUGCAGUGAGUCCUGGCUGGAGUGGCAGAAGGGAGAAAUGUCAGAAAUAAGAUCACAUUCUUCUACAG